rnacentral:misc_RNA from 1 species
GUAUGGUACUGUUGAGCUACAUAGUUGCCUAGCAACUUAUCCCUGUGCUUUUUCAAUUUGUUUAGCGCAAUCACAACAAAAACCGGAAGAACAAGACUGUAGAAAAACAUUUUACUAGAAGACGAAUCGGAAACGAGAAAGAAAAUGCUGCUGUCACGAACAAAACCUGCAGCUAGUAACAAAAACCAUUCCUUAGUGAAUCUAAGUGAAAUUACCAAAGCUCAACGAAUGGCAGUGUCACCUCAGGAAGUGCCAUCGGUUACUAAAUUUGUAGAGAAUCGAGAUUUCCAAGGAGCUAUUACUCUUUUAGAGUACCAAAAACAAAACGAAAAUGCUAGCUCGGAAACAGAUUUGUGGUUAGUAUACUGCGAAUUCCAUCGUGGCAACUACAAGCAGGCCCUUUUGCAAUACGAGACAAUGAACAACUCGCUUUACGCUGCUUGCUGCUAUUUCUAUUUAGGGAUGUAUCAAGAAUCGCGCGAAUUAGUUCUCAAAUCACCAAAAUGUCCUUUGCAGGUUAGACUUUCUUUUCAUUUGGCUCACAAAACUGGCGAUGAAGUAAGCGUACUAGAGUUCCAUAGGCAACUACGUGAUGUUGCUGAAGACCAACUGUCUUUGGCGGCUGUUCACUUUUUACGCGCACACUACCAAGAAGCAAUCGACAUCUACAAGCGACUUGUUUUACAAAACAAGGAUCUCAUGGCCCUUCAUGUCUAUAUUGCUCUGUGCUACUACAAACUGGAUUUCUACGAUGUUUCUCAAGAAGUGUUGUCUGUUUAUCUGCAAAAGAAUCCAGAUUCGCUAAUCGCUAUUAAUUUGAAAGCUUGCAACAUUUACCGACUGUAUAAUGGCCGCAGUGCCGAAUCUGAGAUUCGCCCGCUGUUGGAGGCUCAAGUCAAUUGUCCAUUCGGCAAGGAUUUAUUAAAUCACAAUCUCGUCAUUUUCAGAAACGGAGAUGGUGCUCUUCAAGUGCUGCCGCCGUUGGUCGAUGUCAUUCCAGAGGCCAAACUUAACUUGAUCAUUUACUAUCUCCGACAAGAUGAGACAAAGGAAGCUUUCGAUUUAAUGCAAGAUGUCAAUCCAAGCUUGCCGGCCGAGUACAUUUUGAAAGGAAUCGUGUAUGCGCUUAUUGGACAGGAAACAAACAACAAAGAGUACUUGGAUACAGCAAUCCAGUAUUUGCAUCUCGUUGGAGGUAGCGCGAGUGAGUGUGACACAAUACCUGGGCGUCAGUGUGUCGCUUCAGCCUUUUUCCUUCAACGUCAAUACGAGGACGUCUUGCUGUACUUCAAUUCAAUUAAAUCCUAUCUGAGUAAUGAUGAUACUUUCAAGUUCAAUCUGGCACAGGUGCAAACAAUAUUAGGACACUACAAAGAAGCUGAAGAGGAACUUGUUACCAUCCAGAGCGCAAAGUACCGUAGCGAGUACAACUACAUCGAGUGUUUAACGCGUUGCCUGGUGAUGAAUCGCAAAGCUGUCCAGGCCUGGGAAAUAUAUUCCAGAAUGGAAACAUCUGCAGAAUCUUUGGGAAUUCUCCAUUUGUUAGCCAAUGAUUGCUAUCGUACUGGGCAGUUUUACAUCGCUGCAAAGGCAUUCGAUGUUUUGGACAAAUACGAUCCCAAUCCAGAACACGCUGCGGCAAAACGUGGGGCAUGUGUAGGUUUACUUCAAAUGGUUUUAGCAGGACGAGAACACAGGGAGGCUUUAAGUGAAGCUGUAAAUUUAAUGCGGGGAUCUCCUGACCCACAGAUGGAUCAUAUUUUGAGAGUCAUAAUGAACUGGGCAAAAGAAAAUCGAAUUAAAAUGUAAAAUAGCCUUCCAUGGCGUGCAAGUUAUCGGCGUUACAUCGCUAAAUGACAAUAAAAUUCCUAUUGAAGGAGCUAUAUGAAACAAUGGACCGACAUAAUUAAUAAUCUAACUAAUACACAGAAAUGUUGAUUCAUAA